rnacentral:lncRNA from 1 species
UCGGUUAAGUCUGUGUUUCACUGCAUCAGACACAUACAUCUUGAUUCUAGUGUCAGUCUCUUUGUGUAAACAUGGUGCUUAACUUGAAACAUCAUCAAGUGGUGGAUAACACUGAACAUCGUGCGCAUUUGUUGCUACAACUACCUUUUCCUCAAAAUUGUAUUGAGCAAGCUGCUGUGAAUGAAAACUAAAAAGUUCUUUCUUAUUGUCGUCAUCUCUCAGAAAACUUUCCCAACUUUGAGGAUUUUGUUUACCCCGGAUUCAUCUGUGUAUUCCCUUUCCCCUAAAUGUAGCUCUUGUUUCUUGUAGCAGCUUUCAAACUACCAGUAUUGUCUAUGUUCGCAUCCGAGACUACAUCCACUGUUGUUACAGUUUCAAGGUGUUU